GUGCGAGACCGAUAGCGAACAAGUACCGUGAGGGAAAGAUGAAAAGAACUUUGAAAAGAGAGUUAAAGAGUACCUGAAACUGCUGAAAGGGAACCGAAUCGUUUCCAGUGUCUAUAAUCUAUGGCAUAUUUCAUUGGCGUGUGGGUGUGUACAGCGUUUUGGAAGUAGUUUUCUGCUCCUGUCGUUGUUUUGCGCUCGCCUGCUGGUGCCCUGUGCUGUAGUGGGACGUCAGAGUCAGUUUGUAUGCUGCGGGAAAUGGUUAUCAGGGAGGUAGGUCGCUUCGGUGGCUGUUAUAUCCUGGUAACUAGUCGUCGUGGCUGAGACUGAGGUGCCUACAACGCGCUUUCGAGUCUGCGGGCUUCUCGUGUGGCUGUUUGCUUUGAUAGCUUGCUAUGUUGGUGAAUAAGUCGUGCGAUUGAGACCUGUAGUAACUUGUUGCUGUUCGGGACUUUGA
rnacentral:rRNA from 1 species